rnacentral:lncRNA from 1 species
CUAAUUGGGUGUGCCUAUUUGUAUUUGCCAUGCUAAAUGUGUAUUUGUUACCUGCAGUAGUUGUAACCUUCUUGUGUUUGCCUUUAUCUGUUUAUUUGUCUGUGAAAAUGCAUGAUGGAAUUGGAGGUAUGGAGGAAUGGCAGUAUAGGACUUAGAUUUAAGGUUAAGUUAAGUUAGGAUUAAAUAUUUUUAGGAAACCACCUUUUAUGGCUUCUGUUUAAUACUUUAAGCUCUACAAUCUGAGUGUCGGCGUUCUAGGAUUGCCUCUGGCAUUCCCAGGACCUUAUAUAUUAUGUGUGUGGCACCUUUACCAUACUGAGAACCUCCGGUUCUCAUUCCAUACUAUGUUGUUGAUUUUCAGAUGCAGGUUGGGAGCCAUCUCAUUAGUCAUCUGGACUCUUAAAGCGGAGGGGUUACUGGAUAGAGUUGUUGUUUAUGGCUGCCCUGGGAAAUAUGGCUGCAGCUAUGCAGGCAACAGCCGAGGCAUUGGGUAAUCAGAUAAAUCAGGGUAAUCAUGGGAAUAAUAAUGAUGAGGAUGGUCCUAUGACACUUGCCACAUUUCUGAAAGUUCGCCCUCCGACUUUUAGGGGAACCUCAAAUCCCACUGAUGCAGAUAACUGGAUUGAGGCUAUGGAAAGGGCGUUGCAGGCCCAACAGGUUCCUGAAGAGCAAUGGGUUGAAUUUGGAACUUAUCAGCUGCAAGGUGAAGCUCAGUAUUGGUGGCAGGGAACACGACGUAUCCUGUAGCCUGAUGGUGCUGCGAUUCCUUGGGAGGUUUUCCGGACAGAGUUCUAUAAGAAAUAUUUUCCUAAUUCAGCCAGAAAUGCCAAGGAACUUGAAUUAAUGCAGUUAAAGCAGGGAUAGAUGACUGUUGCUGAGUAUACCAGUAAAUUUGAGGAGUUAUGUCGCUUUUCUCGUAUCUGUCAAGGUGCGCCUGAAGAUUUUGCUGAAUGGAAGUGUAUUAAAUAUGAGGGAGGUCUUCGGAGCGAUAUUCUGAGCUUCGUUGCCCCAAUGGAGAUCAGGGUAUUUUCUGAAUUGGUGAAUAAGAGUAGGGUGGCUGAGGAUUGUGUGAGGAAGGCGGCAGUAGUGAUUCAGGAGCGUCUCAUUCAUUUAUUGCAUUUGAAAAGGCCCAUGAAUUAGGAUUGAGAAUGGUGGUUUUAGGUUAUGAUUUGAAAGUAUAUAAUGCUACUCAUGAAGUUAUGGUGACUAGGAUAGAAUGUCCACAAGUUCCUUUUCGAGUGCAACAGCGUGAAUUUGUGUAUGAUUUAAUUUGUUUGCCUAUGACUGGUCUUGAUCUCAUUUUGGGAUUAGAUUGGUUAUCCAAGAAUCAUGUUUUGCUUGAUUGUUCUGAAAAGUCAGUACAGUUUAUGCCAGAAGGGUCAGAAGCACCGGUUGUGGUGAAUAGUUACUAUUUGAAUUCUAUGAUAGUAAACUAUUCUGGAACUGAAUGUCAGGGUAUUAUGUUAUUAACUGCGGGAGUAUCAGGUGAUGAUCAGAGUUUAGAGCAGAUUCCUGUUGUAUGUGAAUUUCCAGAUGUGUUUCCGGAUGAUAUUAAUGAAUUUCCACCUAACCGGGAAGUGGAAUUCGCAAUUGAGUUGGUACCUGGAUCCGGUCCAAUUUCAAUUACUCCUUAUAGGAUGUCGCCUUUAGAAAUGGCUGAACUGAAGGCUCAGCUGGAAGAUUUGUUGGGUAAGCAUUUUAUCCGACCAAGUGUUUCUCCGUGGGGAGCACCAGUGUUACUGGUAAAGAAGAAGGAUGGGAGUAUGCGGCUGUGUGUCGAUUAUCAGUAAUUGAAUAAGAUCACUGUGAAGAAUAAAUAUCCGUUGCCUAGAAUCGAUGAUCUAAUGGAUCAGUUACAGGGUGCUGGUGUGUUUUCUAAGAUUGACCCGCGAUCCGGAUAUCAUCAGAUAAGGGUUAGAGACGAGGAUAUUCCGAAAACUGCUUUCAGGACGCGUUAUGGUCAUUAUAAGUAUACAGUGAUGUCUUUUGGGUUAACUAAUGCCCCGACAGUAUUUAUGGAUUAUAUGAACAGGAUUUUCCGUCCGUAUCUAGACAAGUUUGUUAUUGUCUUCAUUGAUGAUAUUCUCGUUUAUUCUAAGUCCGAAGAGGAACAUGCUGAUCACUUGCGAACUGUGCUGCAAAUUCUGAGAGACAGGAAGUUAUAUGCUAAGUUAUCUAAAUGUGAGUUCUGGAAGAGUGAAGUGAAGUUUCUCGGCCACGUGGUGAGUAAGCAGGGGAUAGCUGUGGAUCCUGCUAAGGUGGAAGCAGUGAUGAAUUGGGAGCGACCAACUUCAGUGACAGAAAUCAGGAGUUUCCUAGGUUUGGCGGGGUAUUAUCGCAGAUUCAUUAAAGGAUUUUCACAACUCGCCUUACCUUUAACUAAGUUGACUAGGAAGGAUACACCUUUUAUCUGGACUCCGGAAUGUGAAGAGAGUUUCCAGGCAUUGAAGCACAGGUUGACUACUGCACCUGUAUUGGUAUUACCUGAACCAAGUGAACUGUUUGAAGUGUAUUGUGAUGCAUCUCUGAAAGGUUUGGGGUGUGUUCUGAUGCAGCACCAAAAUGUUGUAGCAUACGCCUCACGGCAAUUAAGGCCGCAUGAAAUGAACUAUCCGACAUAUGAUUUGGAACUGCUGCUGUUGUGUUUGCUUUAAAGAUUUGGAGGCACUAUCUCUAUGGUGUUAAGUUUCAUGUUUUCUCAGACCAUAAGAGUUUGAAGUAUCUUUUUGAGCAGAAAGAAUUGAAUAUGCGUCAGAGGAGAUGGAUGGAAUUUUUGAAAGAUUAUGAUUUUGAAUUGAAUUAUCAUCCAGGAAAAGCGAACGUUGUGGCGGACGCUUUGAGUCGGAAGUCUUUAUAUGCAGCUUGGAUGAUGCUACGGGAGGAAGAGUUACUGAAGGCAUUCCAAGGUUUGAAUUUGGGAGUUAGAGAAGAAUCUGGAAUCCUGUGUUUGAGUCAGUUGCAAAUUUCAAGUGAUUUUAAAUCAGAACUUCUGAGGGCUCAUCGAGACAGUGAAGCGUUACGUAAGGUAUUACCAGCAGUCAAACAGGGGAAACAGUGGAGAGUGUCAGAAGGUCAGGAUGGUUUAUGGAGAUUCAAGAACCGGAUUAUUGUGCCAGAUAUUGGAGACAUGCGACAGAGAAUCUUAAAGGAAGCUCAUAAGAGCGGGUUUUCAAUUCACCCAGGGAGCACUAAAAUGUAUCAAGAUCUGAAAGUGAUGUUCUGGUGGCCAGGUAUGAAGAAUGAUGUGGCAUUGUAUGUAUCUAAAUGUUUAACGUGUCAGAAGGUUAAGAUUGAGCAUCAGAGACCAUUAGGGACCCUUCAGCCUUUGGAGAUUCCACAAUGGAAAUGGGAGAGUAUCGCAAUGGAUUUUGUAAUAGGUUUGCCUAGAACCCGAUCUGGUUGUGACGCUAUUUGGGUGGUUGUGGAUCAACUAACAAAAUCAGCUCACUUUCUUCCUAUCCGAAUAAGUUGCACAAUGGAGGAAUUGGCUCGAAUGUAUAUUAAAGAGAUUGUCAGGUUGCAUGGCGUGCCUUCUACCAUUAUAUCUGAUAGGGAUCCUCGUUUCACAUCAAGGUUCUGGGGAGCUUUUUAGCGUGCAUUCGGGACUCAGUUAAGUUUGAGUACUGCAUAUCACCCUCAGACAAAUGGUCAGUCAGAGAGAACUAUUCAGACCUUGGAGGAUAUGCUAAGGGCUUGUGUUUUGGACCAGCCGGCGAGCUGGGAUCGAUAUAUGCCAUUAGUAGAGUUUGCUUAUAAUAAUAGCUAUCAUGCGAGCAUCAGAAUGGCUCCAUAUGAAGCUCUGUAUGGCAGAAAAUGUCAAUCUCCACUGUGUUGGUAUGAAACUGGAGAAAGGAGUUUAUUAGGGCCUGAGAUGAUAGCUGAAACGACUGAGCAGAUAAAGAAGAUUCGUAGUCGAAUGCUUAUAGCCCAAAGCCGCCAAAAGAGCUAUGCUGACCAGAGGCGAAAGCCUUUGGAAUUUGAAGAAGGAGAACAUGUCUUUUUGAAAGUUACACCAACCACUGGAGUGGGAAGAGCUAUUAAGACCAAGAAACUGAAUCCCCGUUAUAUUGGACCAUUUGAGAUUCUAAAGAGAAUUGGACCAGUGGCUUAUAGAAUUUCCUUACCGCCGUACCUUUCGAAUUUGCACGAUGUAUUUCAUGUAUCACAGCUUCGAAAGUAUACUCCUGACGCAAGUCAUGUUCUGGAACCAGAACCAAUCCAAGUAAGAGAAGAUCUAACACUUCCGGUAAUUCCGGUAAGAAUUGAUGACACCAGCGUUAAACGAUUACGAGGAAGGGAAGUAUCAUUGGUAAAAGUAGCUUGGAGGCGAGCUGGUAUCGAGGAACAUACCUGGGAGCUCGAAUCAGAUAUGCGACAGAACUAUCCACAUCUCUUUUCAGGUAACUAGAUUUGAAUUUUGAGGGCAAAAUUCUUUGUUAGGUGGGUAGAAUGUAAACCCCGAUUAAAUUAGUAGAUAAUUAGUCAAUAAAUUAAUUUUUAAUAAGGAGGAUUAGAAAUGUGAAUAUUAUAUUAAAAUAGGGUAGAGCUCAUCGAAACGAGAAUUUUGACACUAAUUUUGAAGAAAACGGUCCAAGAUUGGACCGAAAGUACCGAACCGGUUGAACCAGACCUGAACCAGGCUGUCGGUUCAACCGGACCAGCCCUAUUAAAUGAACCCAGCUUUGUCUUCUCCCUCAUUACUGCAGCAACGAAGCUUUCAGCUUCCAGGGAGAAGAGAAACGAGAAACAUUCCCGUAACCCUCACGUUAAUUUCCGAUCCUCGUAACUUCUCCGUCCGAGCUCCAAUCGCCGCACCGUUUGCGGCCACACGUCCACCGCGUCGAGCUCUACAUUUCUACUGGAACAAUUUCAUUGGUAACUUGUUUAAUCACUCUCAGCCCUCUUUUCCCCCAAUUUUCAAAUUUUAAGUGGGAAUAUUGAAUUUCUUUGAUUUCUGAUGUUUUAGGAUCCAAUUAGCUUGAGAGAAACGUUCACUCUUGCUUAUGUGAAGCUUGGGUAAGGUGAGGAUACGAUAAUUCUAUUUUAUUUUCAUUAAAUUUGAGCUUUGAGUAUUAAAUUGGGUAUAUAUGUAUUAUGAAUGUGUAUUAGGUUGAAAAUAAAUAAUUGGAGCUUGAAAUUGUGAAUACUGGAACUUGGAGGAAGCGGAUUAGUUGAGUUUUGAGGGGUUGUCUUGGUUUUGAAUAAAUAGCUUUGGUCGUUACGUGGAAAUCGGCUAAGGUAUGGUUUAGGUUUCUUGCAUUUAAUAUAUAAUGUUCUGUGAAAACUUAGGCUAAACGGCCAUAGGAUAAGUUGGAAUGCAGGUAUAUGUUUAAUGUUUAGUAAUUUGUUGAUGAAUAUAUUUGGUUGAAGUUUAUUGGAUAAUUAGUUAUUAACUAACGAUUUGGUGAAUUAUUGAUUUGAGGUAUUUGUGUUAAAAGCCUAGGAUUUGUGAACUAUGAUUCUUAGUUGAAUUUUGGUUGUUGGAUUUGAAUAUUGUAUGAGUUUAAUUGUUGAUUUGAAGUAGAUUUAUUGUGGUGAUUGUUAUGAUGAUGAGGAAGGGUAUGUUGAAUUGAAAAGAAAGCAGGUUUGGACCCGAAAAGGGUGGCAAAGUCCGAGUUUUAGAGGAGAUGCUGCCGAAAUUUUAUAAAAAAUUAGAGAUUUUGUUUAGAUGAUUAUUUAAAAGAGAUUUAGAUUUAAAUGUUAUAUGGUUUGAUUUUGAGUUAUUAAGAAAG